rnacentral:lncRNA from 1 species
CUCCUGGAGGCCAGGGACUCCAUCUCCCAGGCCUCAGUGCCCAUUAGAUGUUCAACAAAUGUACGGAUUAAAGAUCUCUUACCCCUCUUGAAAAUUUGUUUUCCAGCCUGGCCAUGCACUGAAUAUGUCCUGAGAGCUAAUGUGGUAUCGACUGAUUAAAGCUGAGAAGAGCAAUGAUGAGGAGGAGGCAUAAGCAGAGAGGGGGUUGGAAGGAAGAACAGUGGCCUGGAAGGAAGAGAGGAGCAUGCGUCCCAGCAGUCAGGACUGGAAUUCAAGCCACUACAAUAGAAGCAGAGCAAAGGAGCCCUUUAGACCUCCCAUCUCAGAGGACCUGGUUGAUUUCUCAAAUCUCUUCACUUCCAUGGGUUAUAACAAU